rnacentral:rRNA from 1 species
UGAGUAACACGUAUCCAACCUGCCGUCUACUCUUGGCCAGCCUUCUGAAAGGAAGAUUAAUCCAGGAUGGCAUCAUGAGUUCACAUGUCCGCAUGAUUAAAGGUAUUUUCCGGUAGACGAUGGGGAUGCGUUCCAUUAGAUAGUAGGCGGGGUAACGGCCCACCUAGUCAACGAUGGAUAGGGGUUCUGAGAGGAAGGUCCCCCACAUUGGAACUGAGACACGGUCCAG